GUACGGCACAGCUGAUGACACACACAUGUGAGAGCAAACUUUGCACCAUCCCAACCCGAAAAGCUGGAUGGGUGCCACCAUCUGAUGUCUCGGCAGAAAACGGCUGUGCCACCUUGCCAGAAUGCAAGACGGGGCACAGUGGGAGGUGCAGGAUUUAUUUUCCCCGGUUUAUAACUGCACAGUUAAAUCACACCUUUUCCUGCCACUUCAACAAUUGUGUGCGUUCACCAAAGCUGCCAUGCUGCCUCAUGAGAGAUACUCUUUCAAUGGCUACAGCCUUCAUCUUCCUCUGAAAGCUGAACUGCAUCCUCCACAUUACACCAUCAUUGCAGCUCUACUUUCAUAACAGCAGUUUGAUUUCCAUCCAAACAAAGCUAGAGGAAGAAAAGGGAGAACAUCUAAUAAGUAGAUUCCAUCUCUGGUUCGCAGGUGAAUUCCUCCUCUCCAGUGCUGAAAUCGGUGAUGAGUCGUAGCUGGUAAAAUGAAAAGGUCACAAUUCAAGAAACGUAGAUGAAGACAUUCAUCAUGGAGUCCAGGCAACAAUAAGUUUGUCACAGAAUGAAAGAAGAUGCAACUUUGGUGCUGUUAGGAGGAGUAUGAAUCUAAGAAGGAAAUGUUUAGUGCUCUCUAAUACAUCAGUUCCCCUGGCAACACUUUCUUUAGCUUUAGAAAUGUUUUGUCUCUGGUCCAAACAGUUAGCUUAAUUGCUCUGGUUAUCAUUCAGUUUAUUCUAAGGAACUUUUCAAUGUACGAUAGCAUGCCAAGAAAAUGUAAACAUCAUUCUCUACACUCAUUAUAAUCACUAUUACAUUUUUCAUUAUUGCUUAGGGUCAUGAUUUUAGACUCCCUCCUGAGCUUUAUAUGCACAGCCAGAUUCUUCAAGGAGUUCAGGCAAAGUGCAAAUCUAUCCAGAGCCCUUUUAAAACAGGUGUGGUCGACACCUAUCCGCCAAUGCAUGGUAAGGCCAGCUCUGGACAUGUCAGUGCAUAAGACCUGUCAGUGAUAUGCACACACUAGCACUAUGCCCAGGGCUCCAAAUCCCACAGGACUUCCCUGAUAGUGCCAGGAAAACUACCAUGGCAGUAUGAAAUUACACUCCUUUUCUUUCUUUCCUGAUGAUUUUGCAAGGUUGCCCGUUAUGAGAAAUGUUAAUACUUACACCUCUGAAAAUAGAAUAUUAAUGAAUAUUCCCUAAGUGACCUGCAGUGACACUGCAAUGAUGAGAGAGCAGAUUAUCACCAUAAAAGUAGGCAUUAUAUUAAAAGAGCUAUGUCUUUUUUGCAUUUUCAUGCAAUACGCCUGUAUGACUGACAUCUUACUGCUCCCUUUGGGCAUUCAGUUAUGAUCACCAAGUAGAGAUGGCAGGGUUUUUUCUUAGAAAUGAAUGUCUCCUAUGCACUGUACCUGUGAUACCGAGUCUGUAACUGAGGGCUGCCCUUUUGCAGUAAGAGAACAUAAGUCCCUGGCAGAAAUCAUUCCAGAUAUUCAAUUUCUCUUUAUAUGGCAGACUAAUGGAAGUGCUCAUGAUCACUGCUGUAUUUUGGCUUUCUCUUAUAGAGGAGCAGUAAACUUCAUUUUGAUAUUCAGCCAUUUCCUCUGCAACACUUAUUUACAAAAUAAGAUUCCCUAAAAGUUGAGGGAACUGAUGAGUACUGAAAAUUCUCAAGAACAUAGUAAAGGCUGAUAUGUUUAUAGGGUAAAGUCUCCAGUCCCCACUUCUCCCCUAGCCCAUGCAGCCAGCACUUCUUCAGCAAUGUUGGAGAAAGCAGUACUGCUCAGUUACAGUGGCCUCCAGCAGCAAACCUCCUGCCACUAGAGUUACACCUGCAAGGCAUGCAGGGUUUGGCCUCAGCAUAAGGGGAUGGGAUCCCCAAAAUGGGAAGCACGGAGAUGUGUGACACACCCUUGCCCUCAGCACUGAACUCUGUGCCAGCACCAAGCGCUGCUAUUCUGCCGCCUCCUCACCCCCAGCAGGAGCAAGCUACAUUACUCACACACCCUGCAGCUCCCUCCUACUCCUGCCUCAUGGCUCAGCUCACUCUUCUUUUUAAUUCCCUCGUUGAACCUUUACUAGGAGAAGCACAUGUAAAAGCUGCAGGUCCCUUUUUGUGCUGGAGUCAAACAUUUACUUACAACUGCUGUUCCAGCAAUAACAAUUAAAUUAAACAUGAAGGGAAUAGAGCUGCCUGGAAGAUCUACAAGCUGGAGGUGUAAAUCACACCACAUAACUAAUUUAUGACAUUCUACACCUACAGUUGUACAUUGAUGAUUUGUAAGUGUAAGGACGGCUGUGAUUUCUAAGUGCUUUUAGUGAUGGAAGAAUAGGAAGCUGAUUACACAGAUCUCUAUCCCUGCACCCCAAGUCAUAAAUUAAUUGAGGUCAGGUUAGGUCAGUAGCUGAAUGCAAAGAAUAUUGUGUACAGUUGGAGACAUUCUAAAAAGGGACUUGGAUUUUUUUUCCCACAAAAAUAAUGCAUUAUUGAAUUUGUGCAACACAAGGCAACAACAAGGUUAUUUCUCAACCACUGAAAUUGUCCAAUUACAUUUUUCAGUGAAAAUGUACUUGAGUGAACUUUUUAGAAUGAUAGCCUUAAACCACUCUAUUACUAGGCUUUGAAAAAAAAAAAAUCUGUUUGCUCAGCCAGAACAUGUGCAGAUUCAAGUCUGUUUUUCAGGCUGGAUCUCCUAUGUACUGCAUAUAUCUAAGUAUCUAAGUCCUAUGACUCAGAUGCUUUCCUCUAUCCAGUGUGAUAAUAUUUGUAGAUACUUUUGGAAAUAUAUUGGUGGAAUGAACUAACAAAUUAAGUUCAACUGCAAACAAACAAGCAAAAUACACCAGAAAGGUAAAUGAGAAAGAAAGAUAAAAGAUAAAGAUAGUAAGGGAGACCUUUUCUAGUUAUGGUUUUUAGUUCAUGACUGCUUGUGCUUUGCAAACACUCUGACCAUCUUCAGCUAUUUGACAUUUCCCUUUCAAAUGAUGGGGAACAGCGCUGUGCUUCCAGGUCCCAAGGAGCAGGCCAGCCAGCCACAGUCAAACAGUGCUGGCUAUGGCAAAACUGUUUCAUGUUUUAGGGUUGUGUUAUUUCAUAGAAUCAUAGAAUAGUUUGGGUUGGAAGGGAUCUCAAAGAUCAUCUAGUUCCAACCCCCCUGCUGCGGGCAGGGACACCCUCCACCAGACCAGGUUGCCCAAAGCCUCAUCCAACCUGGCCUUGAACACUUCCAGGGAUGGGGCAUCCACAACCUCUCUGGGCAACCUGUUCCAGUGCCUCACCACCCUCACAGUAAAGAAUU